rnacentral:tRNA from 1 species
GAUAGCUCAGUUGGUAGAGCAUGAGACUCUUAAUCUCAGGGUUAUGAGUUCGAGCCCCACAUAAGGCA